rnacentral:rRNA from 1 species
UACGUAGGGGGCAAACGUUGUCCGGAAUCAUUGGGCGUAAAGAGCGCGUAGGCGGCCCUGUAAGUCCGCUGUGAAAGUCAAGGGCUCAACCCUUGAAUGCCGGUGGAUACUGCAGGGCUAGAGUCCGGAAGAGGCGAGUGGAAUUCCUGGUGUAGCGGUGAAAUGCGCAGAUAUCAGGAGGAACACCGAUGGCGAAGGCAGCUCGCUGGGACGGUACUGACGCUGAGGUGCGAAAGCGUGGGGAGCAAACAGG